rnacentral:misc_RNA from 1 species
UAUCCCGGUGCAAUGAGACUAG